UACGUAGGGUGCAAGCGUUGUCCGGAAUUAUUGGGCGUAAAGAGCUCGUAGGCGGUUCGAUAAGUCAGGUGUGAAAACUCUGGGCUCAACUCAGAGACGCCACUUGAUACUGUCGUGACUUGAAUCUGGUAGGGGAGUGUGGAAUUCCCGGUGUAGCGGUGAAAUGCGCAGAUAUCGGGAGGAACACCAGUGGCGAAGGCGGCACUCUGGGCCAGUAUUGACGCUGAGGAGCGAAAGCGUGGGGAGCGAACAGG
rnacentral:rRNA from 1 species